ensembl:lncRNA
UUGAGCUCUUAUUUAUUAAGUUUGGGCUUUAUAUGUCAUCUUAUGUGUGGAUGAGCGCUCUCUCGCUCGCUCUCUCUCUCUCUCUCUCUCUCUCUCUCUAUAUAUAUAUAUAUCUCAACGGAUGAAUGGAAGUAAGCUAAUUAAUUUAACCUAAAAGUAUGCACUGUACAGUUAACGUUACAUCACUUACAAUGGGCUGAAAACUUCAGGUUUUGAUCUUUCAUAGUAACGUUAAACACAUAAAUACCACUUGUUCUGUUAUUUCAGAAGUGCCAGAAAAGAAAAAAAAACCUCUAUGACACAGGAGAUGUUCCUGAUUUUAAAAUUUCUGAAGGGAGAUAAUGAAAACACAGACACACACACACACACACACACACACACACAUAUAUAUAUAUAUAUAUAUAUAUGUAUGUGUGUGUGUGUGUGUGUGUGUGUGUGUGUGUGUGUGUGUCUGUGUUUGUUUGCUUGUUAGUUAUUUUGAUGUCCACGCUGUAGGAGCAUUACUAAAUUAGUAAAACUAAAAUGUUUAAGUCUUUUUUUUUUUUGUAUAUAUUCUGUCAAUUAUUAUUUUUCUUUUCUGCAUUUCACCUCUGCUAUAGUUUAUUUAUAAUAAACCUGUCAUUGUAUAAUGAAUAUUGUUGUCUCUGUGACAGUAUGCUUAUGUUCCCAGGUUCUUCCAUGCUGAUGGCUGUGCUCUAGAGUCAUAUCUCCUGUCGAAGAACAUUUUUAGACAUUAUGAACCAUGAAAAAGUUUAGCUCCAACCCCAGUUAAGCAGCUGAUCAAGGAUCACCAGAAACUCUGCAGAACGUUGGUCCUCCAGCCCAGGACUGGACACCAGUGUUGUCCACUCACAUUCAGAGUUUUGCUCCAACCUGCAUUGCACCUGAACACAUUAAUCAAGAGUGUCUGUCUCAGAAGCUGAAGAAAAGAGGCCACACCUCAGAGGAAAUAAGCGCCCCCUAAGUGUACAGAAAUAAGAUCAGUGACAAACCAGAUAAAACUUCUCAGUGGUCUAAGACAGCUACAAUGAAGCCACAAAUGCAGUUCAUAGUUCCUGUAUUUCUAUAAUGCAUUAAUGAAUAACAGUAAUUAAAAAAAAAUGUAAUGUCAAGGUUUUGUGUUAAUUCCAGCUAUGUUGAGUAUUCUGUGAAU